AUGGAAGGAAAAUAAAUUUCCCUCCUACACUGAAAGUUUCUAUUCUGACGAAAUUGAAAGAAAGAAACAGAGGAAAUGUAAUUAAAAUUCAUUUCAAAAUUAUCCCUCCAAAAUUUCCACUCCUUUCCGCCUACAAAUAACUCAUUGAAAACCAUCUCAAACCCAAAUUGAAACUCUCAUUCAUCACAAAUGGAGAAAAAUUGUCAAUUUGAGAAUGAUGAUAAUAAAGAGAAUAUCUCACCAAACGCCCCAAAUGAAAGCAGCCCCAAUACUCGAAAACUCCGAUGUUUUACGAAGAGGAGGUUAAGGUUACCUCUUAGGGAUGUCACCUAUCUCUACAAUUCCACAGUCCAGUUCAUGGAUAUUCAGCUGCCCUAUUCUAUUCCUUUUUCUUCCUUUUCUUGGAAUAAUCGAAAGCGAAAAGCCGAUGAUGAGAAGAAUGGUUCGAUGCACAAGAUUCUGAGAAAGGAGUUUAGAUAGAUACACUGAUCAUACAAUAGUCAAUUUAUUUAUUGUUUUGUGGUAUCACGAUAUGGGAAGGAAAUAAAGGAGGCGGAUGAAUUUAUUAUUCAUUUGAGAACUUAGUGCAUUUAUCAAAUUUUUAUUCCUUAAAUUUGAGUUUCCUUCAAUUGCUUGAUUGGUACAAAGUUUAAGAAUAGGUAUUUUG
rnacentral:lncRNA from 1 species